ensembl:lncRNA
UGAUUUUCUGGGUGAAAAGUCAUGAUGAUGUUGAUCUGAUCUAUGUAUAAAAUGUACCGGUGACGCAUGAAGGGGCGUCAGUAAACAAACCCUGAUGCUAUAAAAUAUCUGUUCAUGCUUUGAUUAAGUCGAGGACUACUGGCUGUCUGCGUACAGAGUAGGGAGUGUGGAGCAGGGAAAUUAUUUUACUGCUAUUGUUAAAUAAUUGUCAUCAGUACCAUUGCAUUAAGAAUAUAAUCUGCAGCAUGGAUAUUGCAUUCAGAGGUUUAAACAGUGUCUCUUUCAGAAAGACUGAGUUGCAGGCUGACAGGAAGUUGUAUGCAGAAGUGGAAGUUAUUUUGAGCCGCAGGCUAAGACGAGGCUUUAACAAUGUAACAGAUAGCUUUAAGAAGGCCUUAAGCAGUUAUGACUAUUUCAUACACAAUGCAUAUCUGUGCUUAUUAAAGAGUUGGAGCUCGGUCAAUUAAUUG